AGGAAGAGAGUGGGAGAUUCUGUCAAGUGAUAGCAUGAAUCAGAGAGGCUUAGUUUAAAUUCAACCUCAUUAUAUAACCUUGGAAAAAUCAUUAACCCUCUAUGCCUGAGUUUCUACAUCUUGAAAAUGGGAGAGUUGAACUUGAUGGCUUCUAAGCUGGAGCCUGGAAGCUGAAGGAACUUCUGUCAGUGGUGAGCUUCAAUCCAUCAAACAGCAAAUGGGAUAUUAAGCUAGGCAACUCUCUGCCUCUUUACUACAUUUCCCUCUCUUUACCAUCACUACUUUGAUGUAAUAAAGCUACUAAAGCUCC